GAUGAACGCUGGCGGCGUGCUUAACACAUGCAAGUCGAACGGAAAGGCCCUGCUUUUGUGGGGUGCUCGAGUGGCGAACGCGUGCGUAACACGUGAGUAUCCUGCCCUUGCCUUUGGGAUAACUUCAGGAAACUGGGGCUAAUACCGGAUCGGAGCUCCUGCUGCAUUGUGGGGGUUGGAAAGUUUCGGCGGUUGGGGAUGGACUCGCGGCUUAUCAGCUUGUUGGUGGGGUAGUGGCUUACCAAGGCUUUGACGGGUAGCCGGCCUGAGAGGGUGACCGGCACCAUGGGGACUGAGAUACGGCCCAGACUCCUACGGGAGGCAGCAGUGGGGAAUAUUGCACAAUGGGCGGAAGUCUGAUGCAGCAACGCCGCGUGCGGGAUGACGGCCUUCGGGUUGUAAACCGCUUUCGCCUGUGACGAAGCGUGAGUGACGGUAAUGGGUAAAGAAGCACCGGCUAACUACGUG
rnacentral:rRNA from 1 species